rnacentral:rRNA from 1 species
CCUACGGGUGGCAGCAGUAGGGAAUAUUGCACAAUGGGGGAAACCCUGAUGCAGCAACGCCGCGUGAAUGAUGAAGGCCUUAGGGUUGUAAAGCUCUGUCGUCAGGGACGAUAAUGACGGUACCUGAGGAAUAAGCAACGGCUAACUACGUGCCAGCAGCCGCGGUAAUACGUAGGUGGCAAGCGUUAUUCGGAUUUACUGGGCGUAAAGGGAGCGUAGGCGGACUUAUAAGUGAGAUGUGAAAUACUCGGGCUCAACUUGAGUGCUGCAUUUCAAACUGGAAGUCUAGAGUGCAGGAGAGGAGAAUGGAAUUCUUAGUGUAGCGGUGAAAUGCGUAGAGAUUAGGAAGAAUACCAGUGGCGAAGGCGAUUCUCUGGACCGUUACUGACGCUGAGGCUCGAAAGCGUGGGGAGCAAACAGGAUUAGAUACCCUAGUAGUC